rnacentral:lncRNA from 1 species
CCCCUAUGAAAAUGAUACUGUUUAUCUCUGCCUUAAGGAUGAGGAAUACAGUCAGAGAAAGAAGUAUCUUAUGCAGGGUCCCUACAUAGAUAAGAAGACAUUACUGUAUGUAUUUUCUAAAUAAAUCUACAUUUAUUGGGGAUCCAAUAAAAAUUAUAACUGAACAAAUUAUUCAGUGACCAAAGUUUGGCUAUCACUAACCUGGAGGAUGAACCACGAAUUCAUGAAACAGUAUGUGGGUGGGUAACCAUAGUUUACAUUAAUCUAUUGCCUAUUACAAAAUAACUAGAAGAGAAUAUUUAAAUGUUUCUGGCAUAAAGAAAACACAUAUUUAAGGUGAUGGAUAUCCCAGUUACACUGAUUUGAUCUUUACAAAUUAUAUGAAUGUAGUAAAUUAUCACAUGUAACCUGAAAAUUGGUACAUUUAUUAUGUACCAAUAAAAAUGACAAAACAAAACAAAAAAUGAUAUCUGGACUAUUCUCAGCCUAGCCCUAGUCCACAGUCAUCCCAUUUGCCAAGCGUGCUCUAGUCAGACCCCAGGUGGCCCUGAACACCCAUCUUCCUUCCUGUCUCUCUGUCUGGGGUGUGCACUCUCCUCUUCUUAUAUUAGCCUUUCUAGUCUUACCUGUCUUGCUUACUCAUUCUUUGAGAUCCAGUUCAAAUGCUCGCUUCUUCAUGCUGCCCUCCUUGACUUACAUCUGCAGAAUUCGCAGCUCCCACGGUCACCAUUUCCACUUGCUUUAUGAUAGUGUCAAUGUUUUCCUGUAUUUGUUGAUUAGUUUUUUUAAGUUUUCUCGUUUAUCUUUCCCAGUAAUACAUAAGCUUGCAAAGGCCAUUAACCAUAUUGGGUUCAACUUAUUUAAAAAAAAUUUCUUCUGUUUGGCACAAUGCCAGACAUAUUCUCUUCCAGUUUCUCCUACUGCUGUGCUGAUAUUCAGCCUCCCAUCGCCGGUUUGGGUAUGAGAUGCUGUCAUCAGUACUUUAGUAGUCUAUUUCAUUUCAUCUGAACAAUGACCCAGUGAAGCAGGUCCUUUAGGAGACUAUGUUUACAGGGAUUAAGCAGUGAGUCCAAGGUCACACAGAUGGGUGUGGAGAUUCAAACUCAGGUCUGUGACUCUGAAGGGCAUGUCCAUAUCCAUUCUGCUACAUAAAAUCCUGUGUUCAGUACAGCUUUGAUGGCAUCCCCCAGCCACUAAAGUAUGAGAGAUCUUUAGUGGCACAGAGUAGGGUUUUACUGUUUGGAGUAGGAUGGGAGAAGGUAUUUAUUCUACUGCUUCCUUUUGAAUGUAUCUCUUGUGUAUAUCAGAAGAUAAUUGAGAGGGAAGGACAAGAAAUGAAACUGAGGCAACCAGAGAGAUGAACUUUUCUUUCCACCAGCCAUGAAAUUUAGCUCAGUGUCGAGCCAUAAGAAAUUCUCCCAAUUUUCCUCCUGUACUGUUUGUGUUUCAUUUUUAAACGGUCACCUAGUGGAUGCUUGAGUGUGGCCAGGUAAACUCAUUAUGUGGUAAGCAGUCGAUUUCUUGGGCUUUCGAUAGAAGAUUGCAUGUGGUUAUAGCUGUUUGUAGAGUUUGGUGCAAGAUAUUGCUGCACCUACUACACUCAUGUAGCUGAUUUAAUUCAACCAAUGUCCAUCUACUUUUCAGUGGAAUCAUUCUCUCCCGAUUGUCUCAGGAGACGAGCUUUAUGAGAAACCAUUUUCUGACUCUGAUUAUAUUGAGUUAAUUUUUAACCCUAGUUACCCAGCUUCUGCCUUUUUCUUUUGAAUAGUCUUAAUAAACAAUAAUGAUAAUACAAUAGGCUUUCUUAAUUAGUGAUUAUGACAAAUUGAUAGACUGUAUGUGUCAUUAUCGUUAUAGUCAUGUUUGGUGCAGUUUAGUAUAUUCUUCAAAUUAAAACUAAAAUCUUGUGUCCUGUCAGAUCUUAAAUGAUAAAAUCUAAGACACAGCAUCACUGCUCAUUUAUAUUUUUAUGAACCUUUUGGCUUUGUACAAGUGUCUAGCAGAUACCUGCAUCAUGGCCGUUUAAAACAGUGGCUCAUAACAUACAGUAAAUUUAUAGGCAGUCAUUUCUUCCAGUUGCCAACUUAUGUCACUGUACUUGUGGCUGCAAUAAAAAAAAAAUCACUAUUUAUUUCUUUAACUUUUAACAUUGAAAUGUGCCCCUAUGGUAUAUAUAUAUAUAUUAUGGAUAUAUUACUAUGUUACUGGGGUAGGUCUCCUGCCAUUUCUCAUCAGCAGAGCACAUCUAUUCGGGUGAGCUACAUUUUUAAAAUAUAUACAUGUCACAGUAAUCAUAACUGAUAUUUUAAGAGAGAUUAAUGAAUUCUGUCCUAUGGCUACAUUGCAGGAAAAUAAGCAUCCUUAACAGGAAUGCAAAAAAUUUGAUUUUGGAGAUUUUUGUCAUUCAACAAAUAUAUUUGUAUAUAUAUUUAUACAGGUACCUAUAUUUAGGUCUACAUAUGUAUACAUAUAUGUAU